CCCGCUGAACUUAAGCAUAUCAAUAAGCGGAGGAAAAGAAACUAACAAGGAUUCCCCUAGUAACUGCGAGUGAAGCGGGAAAAGCUCAAAUUUAAAAUCUGGCGGUCCUCUGGGCCGUCCGAGUUGUAAUCUGGAGAAGCGUUUUCCGCGUCGGACCGUGUACAAGUCUUCUGGAACGGAGCGUCAUAGAGGGUGAGAAUCCCGUCUCUGACACGGACCGCCGAUGCUUUAUGUGAUACGCUCUCGAAGAGUCGAGUUGUUUGGGAAUGCAGCUCAAAAUGGGUGGUAAAUUCCAUCUAAAGCUAAAUAUUGGCGAGAGACCGAUAGCGAACAAGUACCGCGAGGGAAAGAUGAAAAGAACUUUGGAAAGAGAGUUAAACAGUACGUGAAAUUGCUGAAAGGGAAACGCUUGAAGUCAGUCGCGUUGGCCAGGGAUCAGCCUCGCUCUUGCGUGGUGUACUUUCUGGUUGACGGGUCAGCAUCAAUUUUGACUGCUGGAAAAAGGCUUGAGGAAUGUGGCAGCUUCGGCUGUGUUAUAGCUUCUUGUCAUAUACAGCGGUUGGGAUUGAGGAACUCAGCACGCCGCAAGGCCGGGUCGUUCGACCACGUUCGUGCUUAGGAUGCUGGCAUAAUGGCUUUAAGCGACCCGUCUUGAAACACGG
rnacentral:rRNA from 1 species